rnacentral:rRNA from 1 species
CGGAGCAACGCCGCGUGAGUGAUGAAGGUUUUCGGAUCGUAAAGCUCUGUUGUUAGGGAAGAACAAGUACCGUUCGAAUAGGGCGGUACCUUGACGGUACCUAACCAGAAAGCCACGGCUAACUACGUGCCAGCAGCCGCGGUAAUACGUAGGUGGCAAGCGUUGUCCGGAAUUAUUGGGCGUAAAGGGCUCGCAGGCGGUUUCUUAAGUCUGAUGUGAAAGCCCCCGGCUCAACCGGGGAGGGUCAUUGGAAACUGGGGAACUUGAGUGCAGAAGAGGAGAGUGGAAUUCCACGUGUAGCGGUGAAAUGCGUAGAGAUGUGGAGGAACACCAGUGGCGAAGGCGACUCUCUGGUCUGUAACUGACGCUGAGGAGCGAAAGCGUGGGGAGCGAACAGGAUUAGAUACCCUGGUAGUCCACGCCGUAAACGAUGAGUGCUAAGUGUUAGGGGGUUUCCGCCCCUUAGUGCUGCAGCU